ensembl:snRNA U6 U6 spliceosomal RNA
CUGCUCACUUAAGCAGCACAUAUACUAAAGUUGGAAUAAUACAGAGAAGAUUAGCAUGGCCUCUGAGCAAGACCCGAAGAUUAGUGAAGUAUGCUGUAUUAAA